rnacentral:rRNA from 1 species
GUAGGGAAUAUUGGGCAAUGGUCGGAAGACUGACCCAGCCAUGCCGCGUGCAGGAAGACGGCCCUCUGGGUUGUAAACUGCUUUUAUCUGGGAAGAAAAAGGCCAUGCGUGGCAAAUUGCCGGUACCAGAUGAAUAAGCACCGGCUAACUCCGUGCCAGCAGCCGCGGUAAUACGGAGGGUGCGAGCGUUGUCCGGAUUUAUUGGGUUUAAAGGGUGCGUAGGCGGCUGAUUAAGUCAGCGGUGAAAGACUUCGGCUUAACCGGAGCAGUGCCGUUGAUACUGGUUGGCUGGAGUGUCGGAGGGGUACAUGGAAUUGAUGGUGUAGCGGUGAAAUGCAUAGAUACCAUCAGGAACACCGAUAGCGAAGGCAUUGUACUGGCCGACAACUGACGCUGAUGCACGAAAGUGUGGGGAUCGAACAGGAUUAGAAACCCGGGUAGUCC